UCCCCGAGCGCGCCCUGCGGGCAAGGGGGCGUAGCCGCCGCCCUCCGCGUGGCGGGAGCGCGGAGCGGGGCGGGGUUUGUUCCUCCUCGUGCCCCGUGCUCGGGGGCGGCGCGUGCGUGCCGGCCUCCUCAGCCCCCGCGGGCGGGCGCGGCUCCGCCACCGCACUCGCCCUCAGCAGCCGCCGGCGGCUGCCCGGACCCUCACCCGCCCCUCCGGCCCCGGCUGCCGGCGCAGGUCGGUGCCCGUGCGCUGGGGCAGACCUCGCAGGGGCGCGUAGGAGGCCGAAGCCCGGCUUUUCGCUUGCCGUGGGGACUUCGGCUGAGGAAAUGUGAACUCUCCAGGAGUGUUGUUAUGAUUCAGUCACUGUUGAGAAAUAGCUGCGAAAAAAGUAAGAAAACAAGCAACGAGGUUUUGUUCCAGAAAAGAUUCUCCAAGGACUUCAUCCGAGAGCUUACACGUGCCUUCCUGACAGCAGAGCUCCUUGGGGGAAGGCUGUUGGCAGUUCUGUGUUUGAUAGAAAAAGAUAUGCUAACUUGUCUUGACAGAAACUGCGGUUCAUAUAGAUGUGAGUGUAAUAUUACUGAGGUUUUUCUGGAACAUGAUUUCUGAGUAACCAGCAGACAGCUCCUGAGGCCUGAAAUGUAAUGCUGGUGAUGUGUAGAAAAGUACUUUUCCCAGAUUAAAAAAAAAAAAAAAAAGCUUCAGUCUGGUUUUGACUGGCUUUUGAACAGGUUGUAUAGUUCCCAAGCACUAAUGAGUUACAUUCCAAGUCAGAUGUAACAGAAAUAAACAUGUUUGCUAAAUAAAUAAAACUUACAUGAUUAUGCUGUCAAGUUUUCCUCUGUUCCCAGCAACUGUCGUGAUCACUCAAGCCAAAUUAGGUAAAAGGUGUAGAGAUGUAAGAGAUCUUCAAUUUCUACAGAUUCUUGGUUCGUGAAAAUGACUGGAUUUAUAAAAGAGGAAGCAUGAGUUAAGUGUCCCUUUUCCUGGAGAAGCAGGGUUAUCCUGUCCAUGCAGUCAUUCCUAUACAGAAGUCAGUGGCUCUAUCCUGUCAGUUGGAAUACACAGCUCCUGACCAGUCAUGGUCUGGGAUAGGUGGGAGAGGGGGGGAAGGCAAGGUAAAGCCCUGGGGACCCAGGAGGAAGCCAAGUGCAAUGGAUUUUGCCCUUUUCCCCCUGAAACAUAUAGGGGGAGAGAUUCUAAUUCUAUUUAGUUUAUGAUCCUGAGGGUUCUGUCGAAGCUGGAGGGGUUGUAAAGCCAUUUGCUGGAUUUGCCUCUUGCUUUGGCAGCUUCAUCCAGGCACGAGGCAUUUAAAAUUCUGUUGCUUAAAAGUGACACUGUAACCAGAGCAAACAUCUCCAGCUUUUUGGUGGUGAGGCUGAACAGUAAUAAUGAGAGCUGUAUUAUGAUAUUCCAGUCUGGGCACUCAGAGCCUUCUUCAAAAAUCUGCUGUACACAAGCAGUGAGCUGGCCUUGAAGUCCUUGCAGCUGCACCAACAAAAAGCAUUUGGAAGAGAAGAUGGAGAUGUUGAGACCACAGUCAAGGUUGGCUCAGCCAGUGGUCCAGGUGCUUUAAGGUAGCAGAAGAAUGGCGAUUAGAGCUUGUUGACAAAAGCCAUUUUUGAAAAUUUAUAAUUAAUCCUGUUGGUUUAGGCUGGCACGAAGCCAGCAGUUCACGUGGUUUCAGUGAGAUGUGCCCUAUUUAUUGGGGGUCAUUGGGGGUAAAAGUACCUCGUUUCUAACACUUGAGGUGGGACUAUGAUGAAUUUUUCAGUACAGUUUUUAAAAAAUGUGAACACACCUGCAAGGAUUAUUUAUUUGACAAAAUAUUAUUUAAUAAAAGUGAUUCCGAGGAGCACAAAAAAAUGUAUGGAAUAGUUUGUCAGCGUGAAAAACUCCUGUUCUCGCUUUCUAAUCUGAGCAUGAGCAAUGUCACUGUGUUUCGGUUAAAACUGAAUUCUUGAUUAUAGCUCAGUAUUUUUAGUGAUCCUACAAAGUAGGUGGAGGUGGCAUUCAUGAGUUAAAUGCCUGAUUAUUUAUAGAAUGCCAUAGUUCAUUUCUCUUCUUUUUAAAAGUUGUGCAUGUGUUCCUGACUGUGUAUUUCACUAUGUAAAUAAAUGAUACCAUGUAUAAAGACUUGAUUUGACUUUGUAUGACUGAUGUAACUCCCAAGUAUUAGGUUGUAAUUAGUUGUUAUAGUGUGAAAGGUGAAUAAUUUGUUUGGUAUGGAAAAAAGAACUUGGUAGUUACCAUAAGUGAUGACCUGGGCUUUUAUAUCCUCUGCUGUCUCCCCUUUAUGUCAGUGGUGACUUUGCCACUACUCUAAAAACAAACCGUGCGGCUGCCUGUACGGGUGCUUAGAGCAGCUGCCUGCCUGGAGAACAGCAACAUGCAUGUCUGCUCCUCAGGGAGGCAAAAAGCAGUACGGUAAAUUCCCUUGAUCUACGCUUUUCUAUUAAUAUUCACAAUUACUGCAGCCAUCACCAAGCAAAACCUAGUUUGAUUCUAACGAACACCAUGUAGCGUAAUUGCCUUCCCCAGCGCGCGUCUCUGGCCGCUGGGGUCGUUGCUGCAGGCCAGGCGUCUUCUGCUGCUCGAAGGAUCCGGCACCUCCAACCCACUCCCCGGCCCGCUCCGGUAUCUGCUG